rnacentral:misc_RNA from 1 species
UUUGGGGGUUUUUUUUUAAUUUUUUUUUUUUUUUUUUCUUUUUUUUUUUAAUUGGGGGGUUUUUUCCCUUGGGGGGGCCCCUUUAAAAAUGGGGUUUUGGGGGGGCCCCCGGGGUUUUCAAAGGUUUUUUUUUUCCCGUUUUUCGGCCUAGUUACCGAGACCCCCUGUUAAUUGGGGCCCCGGCCGGGGGCCCGGGCGCCCCGACACCAAGCGAGCUGAGUGAAAUACGCUGAACAGCAUGCCGCCGAAUACCGCGGCGCAAUGGCUUCAAAGAUUUGUGAUUCAAUGAAUUCUGCAAUUCACAUUACUUAUCGCAUUUCGUGCGUUCUUCAUCGAUGCCAGAACCAAGAGAUCCGUUGUGAAAGUUUUGAUUAUUUGUCUUUCAGGCUCAGAGAUACUGAAAAAAUAAGAGUUUGAACCUCCGGCGGCUGCCCGCCGAAGCAACGACAGAGUUAUGUUCACAGGGUGGAGUUUUUCAACUCAGUAAUGAUCCUUUUUUCCUCCUUAGGGAUCAUCACGGAGUGGGAGAACUCCAACCCCUGUGGACAUAACCUCUGUCGUUGCUUCGGCGGGCACGCCCGCCGGAGGUUCAAAACUCUUAUUUUUUCCAGUAUCUCUGAGCCUGAAAGACAAAUAAUCAAAACUUUCAACAACGGAUCUCUUGGUUCUGGCAUCGAUGAAGAACGCAGCGAAAUGCGAUAAGUAAUGUGAAUUGGGGAAUUCAGUGAAUCAUAGAAUCUUUGAACCGCACAUUGCGCCGGGGGGUAUUCGGGCGGGCAUGCCUGUUGGAGCGUCAUUUCAUCCCUCAAGCCUCGGCUUGGUGUCGGGGCGCCCGGGUCCUCCGCGGCCCGGGGCCCCCAAGUUCAUCGGCGGGCUCGUCGGUACACUGAGCGCAGUAAAACGCGGUAAAACGCGAACUUCGUUCGGAUCGUCCCGGCGUGCUCUUGCCGCUACCCUCCUAUUUUUAAAGGGUUGACCUUACGGAUCCAGGUAGGAAUACCGCAGCCUAUU